ACAGAAAUUCUUUGCCGACUGCCUUUGUUGGCAGGUGGCAAAGGGCUCUUUAUCGACUGCCUUUCUCGGCAGGUGGCAAAGGGCUCUUUGCCGACUGCCUUUAUUGGCAGGUGGCAAAGCUGGAAUAAGUAAAAUUUUGGUCCGUUUUUUUGUUUUGCAUCACAACAAUCAAAUCACAAAUAUGGUUAUAUAACUAAAAUUCACAUAUAUCACAUAGAUCCAUAUAUAUCACACAAAUCCACAUAUAUAACACACAUAAACCAUAACAAAGGAGUCCAACAAGUCCAUCAUACAACAAAUCGUACUAAUCAAGCAUCCAACAUGAAACAUCCAAUAUGGUGUACAAAACCAACAUGCAUCAUCAAUCAGGAACUGCACCAUGCAUCAUGCAUCAUCUAUCAGCACGACGUACGUUGUCUCAUCUCAAGAAAACUAAACCCAAACGUGCGUGCGUUCCUUUGCACAAAACUGUGCUCAUCGUCUAUCUAACAAACAGAUAAAGAAACAUCAAGUGAUCCAUCGUAUCAUCAGAAAGAUCAUAUCAUCCUCUCCUGGCAUGCUUUCACGCAGCAAUUCAAGAUACACUCAUUAAUCCUCUACCCUGACGGCUGCCCGCAGACGACUUGAUCUUCCUUAAUUCGCACCACCAUUGUCAGACCCGUCCCGGCUGCCAAACCUUCAAUCACCACAGCAGAUGAAUACCAGACCACAUGUUAGUAGUUAACAACAAUAGGACUUUAGCCCAUUUAUUUGAUUUUUGACAAGAUAAGAUCGAUCGAGCACAAAUGGGUGAAUUUCUUAAAUUCUAACACUACCACAAAACUGAAUACCCUUGAGGGUCAAAAACCCUCAAGGAAACCCCUAAAACCGCCAAGAAAAUCAAUUUUGGCGGCUAGCACUCAAGGAAUGGCCGCCAAGAGUAGAGAGACAAGGAAAGUGUCGGCCGCCACAAAUCAUUUUCUUGAGAGUUAAACCGUCAAGAAAAUAAAUCAGUGGUCAGAUUUUUAGCAUCGUCAAGAAAAUAUAACGACACCCAAGGAUAUAGGUUUCCUUGAGUGCCAAUGACACUCAAGAAAAUGUAAGAACACCCAAGGAUAUAGGUUUCCUUGAGUGCCGAUGGUACCCAAUAAAAUGUAAAAACACCCAAAGAUAGAUAUUUUCUUGAGUGCCGAUAACCCUCAAGGAUAUGCAUGGAAAAAAAAGAAAAACAAUCUCAUAUUUGUUAUAGCUGAGAUUCAAACUCAUGACGUGAGAUUCCAAGUGAAACUAACUUACCACUACACCACUUAGUCUUUUGUGACCAAGUGAAUGUUUCUUUCUUUUUGUUUUCACUUUAGCGGAUCUUGUAAUAAAUAUUUGAGAACC
rnacentral:lncRNA from 1 species